UACGAAGGGGGCUAGCGUUGCUCGGAAUGACUGGGCGUAAAGGGCGCGUAGGCGGUUUGUACAGUCAGAUGUGAAAUUCCUGGGCUCAACCUGGGGGCUACAUUUGAUACGUGCGGACUUGAGUGAGGAAGAGGGUCGUGGAAUUCCCAGUGUAGAGGUGAAAUUCGUAGAUAUUGGGAAGAACACCGGUGGCGAAGGCGGCGACCUGGUCCUUGACUGACGCUGAGGCGCGAAAGCGUGGGGAGCGAACAGG
rnacentral:rRNA from 1 species